rnacentral:rRNA from 1 species
UACGUAGGGGGCGAGCGUUUGUCCGGAUUUAUUGGGCGUAAAGAGCGUGUAGGCGGCCAGGUAGGUCUGCUGUGAAACUCGAGGCUCAACCUCGAGACGUCGGCGGAAACCAUCUGGCUAGAUCCGGAAGAGGAGAGUGGAAUUCCUGGUGUAGCGGUGAAUGCGCAGAUAUCAGGAAGAACACCCGUGGCGAAGGCGGCUCUCUGGGACGGUACUGACGCUGAGACGCG